GUUCUUCCGCCAGCGCCCAUCGUGAAGACCACAGUUUCCUGUCGCGUGGAUGUGUUUCCUCUCUGGCCAUUGCCAUCCGCCCAAAUCUACAGACAUCCCGCAUGUUCCCGGGCUCGUCUCCCCAAUACAGGGCACCAAGGCUGUAGACUGCGCAGCCCUCCUGGAGACAGAUGGAAGCUCCUUGGGUCGACAGAUUACAGCUUCUGGAACCCCCUACUCCCUUCAACUCCGAGAUGGACACCCACUGUCCAGGGAGAGGAUGCCUGGAAAUAACAGCUGGGAUCUACAGUGGCCAAAGAGUUGUCUCCGUCUUGCUACAUCGACAAACUGGUGCUCCUGAGUGAGGAUUGUGCCCUGGGAUGGGGGAUUCAGUUUCUUCAUUUAUAGUUGGAAGUGGGUGAAGCCACUUCGGAAGCGUUUUCCUCUCCACUCUGACAACAGGCAAGAGUGAGGGUCCAACAAUACAGAGGAAGUAACGUGUCGCUGCUACUCUUCCAUGCCCAGUGCCAGGAGCGACGGUACACUCCAGAGUGCUGUGCCCUGAUGGGCCUUUGAGUGGCCAGUGCAGUGGAUCAUCAGCCCUGUCUCCCAAGAGCUCCAGUCCCUUCUCCGGAGAGGAAGUGGGUCCACUGGCAGCUCAGGAGGCCAUAGCAGAAACUUGGGGUGUUUGCAUGUGCUAGGUCAGCACAGAUUUCCAAAGGAUCUCUAGGAUUGUCACGUGUGCUCAACAGUCCUCCUCGGCUUUCCAGAAGAGGCUGGAACAGGGCCCUUGAAGAUGUUUGUGGACAUCAGAGGGCCAAAGACGACACAAAGUGAAACUGGAGACACCGCCCCCCCUUGGCAUCAUGAAACUGCCGAUGUUACUGGCUCAUGCAUGGGAGACACCAGCAUACAAAGUCUUGACACCAACACCUCAGAGGGCUGUGUUCUGUCCCCGUGACCAUCAUCUAGUGCCUGGAAAGACUAGUGACAAGAACUUGUUGCCAACUUCCUAUUACCUCCCUAACAGUUGUGCAAUAAACCCCAUAGGUUAAUUCAG
rnacentral:lncRNA from 1 species